rnacentral:rRNA from 1 species
CAGCCGCCGCGGUAACACGAAGGGUGCAAGCGUUAAUCGGAAUUACUGGGCGUAAAGCGUGCGUAGGCGGUGAGUUAAGUCUGCUGUGAAAUCCCCGGGCUCAACCUGGGAAUGGCAGUGGAUACUGGCUCGCUAGAGUGUGUCAGAGGAUGGUGGAAUUCCCGGUGUAGCGGUGAAAUGCGUAGAGAUCGGGAGGAACAUCAGUGGCGAAGGCGGCCAUCUGGGACAACACUGACGCUGAGGCACGAAAGCGUGGGGAGCAAACAGGAUUAGAUACCCGGGUAGUCCCUGUCUCUUAUAC